UUGCACUGAAAAUUAGAGAGUAAGCUCUUGUGCUAUUACACCAGACUGGCAGAUUGUGGAUUCGUAAAAAUAACAGAGAACUCCUCAGAAAAAGGAGAAGUGGGUAGGUUUGCUGCAGUAAAUCUCUUCUUAUAAGGAUCUAUCUAGGUGCUAUAAACAAAUUAACAAAGUAUAUAGGAAGUAAACUCAAAUACUUCAUCUGAGAAAAAUUUUGUGUCCUCUGCUAAUGAGAUUGAAGGAUUAUUCAUGUAGCUAUUGGCCUCCCUAUUCCCUGCAGCAUAGCAAUAUGAAAAUUAGGCCAAUGAAAAAACCUACAAUGACUUCUAAGUGUUCAAGUCAAAGAAAGAAGUGCAUGCUUCUUUUCCUUUAAAUCAAAAACAGAACAUGAUUGAGCUUAGUGAGGAAGGCAUAUUGAAAGCCAAGAUGGGUCAAAAGCUAGGUUGCUUGUGCCAAAGAAUUAGCCAAGUUGUGAAUGCAAAGGAGAAAAGUUCUUGAAGGAAAUUGAAAGUGCUACU
rnacentral:antisense_RNA from 1 species